AAAGCGUUUAUUACUUAUUAUGCCGCCAAACAUGGUCAGUGAAGGAAGGCAUUAGCAAAGAGAAAUGAGUUUGUUUAAAUGAAACGGUUUAGGUUAUUCUUUAUUAAUUAACUAGACCAGUAGACUUUACGUAUUUAUUUCGUAUGUUGUAUUCAUAUGUAUAUUUAUACAUACAUAAUUUAGCCUUCUUCUCAAGUUCUUCCAAGUUGAAAAAUGACCACUACGUUUUGCAAUGAUAGAAAUUUAAGACUCAG